UUUUAUAUUUGCAGUUAACUUUUGAACUGAGAUUACAAUAUUAUAACAAACUCCUUACUUUGUAAUCCCUGUUCCUUUUCUCUGAUCUCUCUUGUUGAAACCCAUUACCUGGAGGCUGGAUUUCCUGACCUGGUUCUUUUUAUUGUUGUUUUAAAUUUUCUCCUAUCGUUUUCUCCAAUUUUCUUGUCUUUUUGUUCCACGUUUGAGAUUUCUUCAAUUUUAUCUUCCAACUCUUCUACUGAUCUUUCAAUUUCUGCUAUCUUAUUUCAGGACCGGUUCUUUUCUCCUCUGAAUGUUCUUUUUGCAUAGCACUGUGUUACUGUUUUGUGGAUGCAACCUUUUCUUUUGUCUUUCUGAAGGCAUCACGGAUACUGUUUGCUUAUCCUUGCUCAUUUGUUUUGUGUUUUAUUCUCCCUGCCAGGCCUCUACAUCUUCCAAGGUGCUUUGGGCAUGUAUUUAUUGUGGUUUCUGUCUUCCACCGUUAGAGGUCCCCUCAGAUAUGUGCCUAUCUUUGGUUGUAUGUUCAUGAUUAAGAGUCGGGGAGAGGGACUGAAAUGCUGGCUGGGAGCUCUGAGCUUUGGAAGGGCAUGUCUACUAUGAGGUCCACUGUAGGGUAAUCUAACCCUGUCCUUAAGGAAGCCCUAGUGUCAGUAUCUUUAGAGCUUCCCCUUGGGCUGGAUAGACUCCCCAGAAGGAAAGUAGAGUCCUCUUCUCAUUUUCUAUCUAGAAUCAAGUUCACCUGCCAGAGUUCUAUCAGCUGAAAGCAGGGAGUGGACUGGGAAGUGUUCAGCACUCCACACACACACGACCACCCUGGCCUGCUACGCCCUGAUCCUGUGCCUGUAAAAACCUCCGAGACCCUAGCAGACAGGCACACAAGUGGCUGGACGUCAAGAGGAACGCAUUGGCAAAAGACACAAGCAGCUGGACGGCGAGAGGACAGCAAGGGGAGCAUGCCGGUGGAAGAGCACAUGACAGACGCUGGCAUGCCAGCAGGCCCCCGACCAGCAGAACGACGCAGUUUGGCCAGGGCAGUCAAGAGAGCUGGGGCCGCUCCAUCUCCCUUCUGGCUUCCCCCAUCUGCUGAGAGCUACUUCUACUCAGUAAAACCCUACACUCAUUCUCCAAGCCCACGUGUGAUCCCAUUCUUCCAGUACACCAAGGCAAGAACCCUGGGAUACAGAAAGCUCUCUGUCCUUGCCAUAAGGCAGGGGUCUAAUUGAGCUGGUUAAUGCAAGCCAUCUAUGGAUGGCUAAACUAAAAGAGCACUCUGUAACACAUGCCCACUGGGGUUUCAGCUGUAAACAUUCACCUCUAGACACUGCUGUAGGGUUGGAGCGACACAGCCUGCCUGUCUGUAUGCUCCCCUAGAGGUUUGAGUAGCAGGGCAAUGAAGAAGCGAGCCACUCCCACUGUUGCACGCCCUGCGAGGGGGACAAGGGAACUUUUCCCGUUUCAACAGCAACGAUUCAUGCUGAAUGAAGUUUAUAGUAUGAGUUAAGGUAACUACCUACACAAGCCCAAGAGUUACUUAUAAACUACUUUAAAAGUUCUAUGAUUGAAGUUCCAGAACUAGAGAGAAUUAAAGCAGUAUGCAACAGAUGCUUACAAACUAACACCUCACUGACUCCAGGAUUUGUUAAGAUCUUACAGUCUCAGCUGGGUAAGGCUCUACUGAAUAAUCCUGUGGUCAAGUUGUUUUGGAGGAAAUUUUAACACACCACAGAAAAUGAGAGAUGAGUUUGAUACCAGCAUUAGAUAAGAGUGCCUAUUAUGUAUACCAGUUAUAUCCAGAACCAGAGGUGUCAUUCGGCACUACCAGGUCUACUCAC
rnacentral:lncRNA from 1 species